UUGAUCCCAUGGCUCAGAUUGAACGCUGGCGGCAGGCCUAACACAUGCAAGUCGAGCGGAUGACAGGAGCUUGCUCCUGAAUUCAGCGGCGGACGGGUGAGUAAUGCCUAGGAAUCUGCCUGGUAGUGGGGGACAACGUUUCGAAAGGAACGCUAAUACCGCAUACGUCCUACGGGAGAAAGCAGGGGACCUUCGGGCCUUGCGCUAUCAGAUGAGCCUAGGUCGGAUUAGCUAGUUGGUGAGGUAAUGGCUCACCAAGGCGACGAUCCGUAACUGGUCUGAGAGGAUGAUCAGUCACACUGGAACUGAGACACGGUCCAGACUCCUACGGGAGGCAGCAGUGGGGAAUAUUGGACAAUGGGCGAAAGCCUGAUCCAGCCAUGCCGCGUGUGUGAAGAAGGUCUUCGGAUUGUAAAGCACUUUAAGUUGGGAGGAAGGGCAGUAACUUAAUACGUUGCCGUCUUGACGUUACCGACAGAAUAAGCACCGGCUAACU
rnacentral:rRNA from 1 species